GAUCAUGGCUCAGGAUGAACGCUGGCGGCGUGCUUAACACAUGCAAGUCGAACGGGAAAAACUUUAUUGAAGCUUCGGCCGAUUUAAUUUAUUUCUAGUGGCGGACGGGUGAGUAACGCGUGGGUAACCUGCCUUAUACUGGGGGAUAACAGCCAGAAAUGACUGCUAAUACCGCAUAAGCGCACAGAACCGCAUGGUUCGGUGUGAAAAACUCCGGUGGUAUAAGAUUGGACCCGCGUUGGAUUAGCUAGUUGG
rnacentral:rRNA from 1 species